rnacentral:rRNA from 1 species
UACGUAGGCAGCGAGCGUUGUUCGGAUUUACUGGGCGUAAAGGGUGUGUAGGCGGUUGUUUAAGUUUGGUGUGAAAUCUCCCGGCUCAACCUGGAGACGCCACCUGAUACUGCUGUGACUCGAGUCCGGUAGGGGAGCGUGGAAUUCCUGGUGUAGCGGUGAAAUGCGCAGAUAUCAGGAGGAACACCAGCGGCGAAGGCGGCGCUCUGGGCCGGAACUGACGCUGAGGAGCGAAAGCGUGGGUAGCAAACAGG